GCUAACUUUUGACUUGACCUCAAAUCAGGUAGGACUACCCGCUGAACUUAAGCAUAUCAAUAAGCGGAGGAAAAGAAACUAACAAGGAUUCCCCUAGUAACUGCGAGUGAAGCGGGAAAAGCUCAAAUUUAAAAUCUGGCGGUCUCCGGCCGUCCGAGUUGUAAUUUAGAGAAGCGUUAUCCGUGCUGGACCGUGUAUAAGUCUCCUGGAAUGGAGCGUCAUAGAGGGUGAGAAUCCCGUCUUUGACACGGACUACCAGUGCAUUGUGAUGCGCUCUCGACGAGUCGAGUUGUUUGGGAAUGCAGCUCAAAAUGGGUGGUAAAUGCCAUCUAAAGCUAAAUAUUGGCGAGAGACCGAUAGCGAACAAGUACCGUGAGGGAAAGAUGAAAAGAACUUUGGAAAGAGAGUUAAACAGUACGUGAAAUUGUCGAAAGGGAAACGGUUGCAGUCAGUCGCGUCCGCCGGGGAUCAACCUUGCUUUUGCUUGGCGUAUUUCCCGGUGGAUGGGUCAGCAUCAGUUUUGACCGCAGUUGAAAGGCUGGAGGAAUGUGGCACCUUCGGGUGUGUUAUAGCCUCCUGUCAUAUGCUGCGGUUGGGACUGAGGAACUCAGCACGCCGAAAGGCCGGGAUUCGUCCACGUUCGUGCUUAGGAUGCUGGCAUAAUGUCUGUAACCGACCCGUCUUGAAACACGGACCAAGGAGUCUAACAUGCACGCGAGUGUUUGGGUGGCAAACCCGAGCGCGUAAUGAAAGUGAAAGUUGAGACCUCUGUCGUGGAGGGCAUCGACGCCCGGACCAGAACUUUUGGGACGGAUCCGCGGUAGAGCGUGUAUGUUGG
rnacentral:rRNA from 1 species